rnacentral:rRNA from 1 species
AGCUCCAAUAGCGUAUAUUAAAGUUGUUGCGGUUAAAAAGCUCGUAGUUGGAUUUCUGCGGGGGACGAACGGUCCACCUUAUGGGUGAGUAUCUGUCAGGCCCUUGCAUCCUCGUGGGGAACGUCGCUGCGCUUUAUUGCGUGGUACGGAAUCCACGACUUUUACUUUGAGGAAAUUAGAGUGUUCACGGCAGGCAAACGCCCUGAAUAUGUUAGCAUGGAAUAAUAAUAUAGGACUUUGGUCUUAUUUUGUUGGUUUCUAGGACUAAAGUAAUGAUAAAUAGGGACAGUUGGGGGUAUUUGUAUUAAUGCGUCAGAGGUGGAAUUCUUGGAUUGCAUUACGACAAACUACUGCGAAAGCAUUUACCAAGGAUGUUUUCA